AUACGUAGGUGACAAGCGUUAUCCGGAUUUACUGGGCGUAAAGGGCGUGUAGGCGGUCUUGCAAGUCAGAAGUGAAAUUCCUGAGCUCAACUCGGGCGCUGCUUCUGAAACUGCAGGACUUGAGUGCUGGAGGGGAUAGCGGAAUUCCUAGUGGAGCGGUAAAAUGCGCAGAUAUUAGGAAGAACACCGGUGGCGAAGGCGGCUAUCUGGACAGUAACUGACGCUGAGGCGCGAAAGCGGGGGGAGAAAACAGGAUUAGAUACCCUGGUAGCCCACGCCGUAAACGAUGAAUACUAGGUGUAGGGGGUAUCGACUCCCUCUGUGCCGCAGUUAACACAAUAAGUAUUCCGCCUGGGGAGUACGGCCGCAAGGUUGAAACUCAAAUGAAUUGACGGGG
rnacentral:rRNA from 1 species